rnacentral:rRNA from 1 species
AUGAGGACUAGUAUGAAUGGCAUCACGAGGGUUACACUGUCUCCCCCAUCUAAUCAGUGAAACUGAUCUCCCCGUGAAGAAGCGGGGAUAUAAUUAUAAGACGAGAAGACCCCAUGGAGCUUUAAACUCAGUAUCAACUGCCCUCUAAUAUACCUAAGUAAAUUGACAGCUAUGAUUACUGGUUUUCGGUUGGGGUGACCGCGGAGUAAAGUAAAACCUCCACGAUGAAUGGGCCUCCUUCCCUUAUCUAAGAGCUACCACUCUAAGAAUCAAAAAAUUGACAAAAAUUGAUCCAAGUAUUCUUGAUCAACGAACCAAGUUACCCUGGGGAUAACAGCGCAAUCCAUUUCAAGAGCCCCUAUCGACAAAUGGGUUUACGACCUCGAUGUUGGAUCAGGGUAUCCCAGUGGUGCAGCCGCUACUAAAGGUUCGUUUGUUCAACGAUUAAAACCCUACGUGAUCUGAGUCAGA